GUGAAGAAAGCAAUUGGAACCUAACAGAAGACAAACUGUAUGGGACCCUUGGGGACUGGGAGGAGUUAGGCAAAUUUUUUUCUGUCCCUAUUUGAGUAAACUGAUAAAGGCCAGUCUCUUUCAUUGGUCAAACUGGAGUUUAGGAAAUUCAACACAUGUUUUGGAGUUUGCAUGCCAAGCCCUAAAGUCACAUGGAUGAGGAAAGCAGCCUGCCUGCUCUUUUUCAUUGUGGACCCAGGACUAGCAGGAUGGACACGUUGGAGGGGGGGCAUUUUUGAGAGUUCACUGAUGAGGAAGACUGUUAUUCUUUCAGACAUCGGAUUUGGGCCACAGGUUCAUUUACCAGAUUCUAUUUGUGUCACAUCUGGGAACUUGACUCUGGAGUUGGAUUCAGGUUCAGUGAGUGUUGCCGGGGGAAGGUCUCUGAAGAGAGGACACGGGCUGUCCGUAACGGUGUCAUCAAGAGACACAGGACUUUUCACUCUGAACACACUCCUGCCGUGGAGCUCCAUCACAGCCCAGCUGACGUCACUGCCCCCAGGAGGCCCCUGUCCUCCAGUCCUUCAAAGCCUCUUCUCGUCCUCGCCAUGGCGACAUUGCUGACUGAUCCUCAGGCCUGUCCUCAGCUCCCCCAGGCUGCUAAGUUGCCAUCUAUGCCAUGUCGUGGUCAUUAAAAAGAUCUCUAGAACCAGACCAGGAAAGCAGCAGUCCCAGCCUACAGGCAUGGGGUCAUCUGGAUUCUCUGUGUCUCAGUUUCCUUGUUGACAAAGUAGAAACAGUAGUUAGGAUAGGCUGAAGCUGUGGAGCAGUGUCUUAUUUUUAAGUGCGACAUACAUCUCCUUUGUUAUUUCUAAUGUUUUAUUACCGUGUUUUAGGCUGUGCCAUGGAGGAUAUAGUGAAAUGCAGUAGAUGGUACUGGAGACGUGGCCUGCUGUCUGCUUUUCUGAGCAGUUAACACAGGGACAUAGUAUGUUCUCAGUACUCAUGUGCUGGAACAAUGGCUGACAUCCUCUACGGAGUCAUGUUUGUGACUGUGACAUGAUGUCUGUGACUUUAUUCAUGGUAUUUCUCCUCAGUUAACUUCACAUGGCAAGCGAUUCGCUCACUAUACCGUGGUGACCACCACAUGAAUUGUCUUCUGGCUUUAAAAAUACUGAGUCCUUCCUUUCUUCACUGAUCACCAUUCACUGCACACAGACACUUCCCUGAUGAGAGCUGAACUGAUCUGUGGGUUAGAGAUAUGAAUUUAGAGGGUGGUUUGGUGCUGUGUCCAUUAACAGAACAAUGGCAAGAGGGUUGGUCCUGUGAGCUCACAACUGAACGAAGUACAGAGUGUCAGUGGAGUGCUGGGUCACAGAGUGACAUCUGUGUCACCUACACACACCAGGCUCAGGGACCGUAGAGAAGGAGAAAGUGGGAAGAUUGUAAGAGCUGGUGGUUGGAGGGGAGCAGAGCAAAACAGUGUCUCCUGGACAUGGCCGAGCAUAACAAGUGAACUCAACCAGUGGUCUCUGCCACAUUGUUCUUGAUGUUGUUUCCAGAACAGGGUCCAGGCUGGCUUCUGUCUGAAAAGUAGCUUAAAAAUGAAAGAAAGAAAGAAAGGAAGGAACUGAGGAAGGAAGGAAAGAAGGAAGAAAGCACAGAAGGAAAGAGGGAAGGAAGGAGGAAGGGAGGGAAGGAAGAAAAGAAGAAAAGAAAUCCUUUAUCAUCAACCACGUCAUGGGGACCAAACAGUAUAAUUUGGUACAAAAUGAUUUGAGCAAGUGAGCAAAAGCCCUAAAGGAAAGCUGGGUGUGUGGCACUCAGAGGACCCUCCUGGGCCCAGGCUUGUAACUUCCCUCUCUACCCCUCACUGCUCUGCACUGUUUAAGGGGCAAGAGAGCCGUGGAAAGAAACUGCCAUCUUCAUUGUAUUUGUGAUCUCCUAUUUCCCAUUGCAUUCUCAAAGUCAACAACAGUAAAAAUCCCUCUAACGCUGUCAUUUAUUGAUAGUCACGAGGAUCGUCACUAAUCUAACAAAUGAUCACAUUUGACAACAUUUAGAUACUAACUAAAUAUGUGUUUGUGAACACACCUGAGUGUAAGCAGCUAUAGUGACAUAUAAACAAUUUAAAUUACGGAUGGAUCUUCAGGAACAUCAACAUAACCCCUUACCUAUCUCAUAAUAUGAUUUUUUUCAGACCAGUUUUCCAGCUCAUCAAAUGGGCUGAAUAAAAACUAGGGCAACUUCUCUGCAAAGAUGAUGGUCAGCCAUUC